GGACGCUGGCGGGAAACUUCUAUAAAGAUCCCGAAAAGAAUUUUAAAAAAUCGAAAAAAGAAAAUUCGAAGCCAGAUUUUGGGUUCAUUCGUUUUGAAGACUCUGUAUGUGUCCAUGGAUGGAACCACGGAAGGGAUAAAGCUCCAGCUCUGAGCUCUAUCAGAAUUCAGAACUUGAGUAUUAAAAAGCUAAGAAUCUGAUGACGUGCUCCGUCAAUGUGUCCCUGACGAGAAGCAUCUUCGUCAAUACGUCUUACAAUCGAGGGAGAAAGAGACAUGGGGAGAUAGAGCUGUGAGUUAUGAUCUUCAAAUGAACUCCAAAGUGCGACUCUUCUCUUUCUCUCUCUGAUUUCAAAAUUUUCGAUUUCUGCAACAUUUGGUACUUCCGUCCGCGCAGUAGCGACUAACGAGGUAAUUGAUCUUUUUUUGCUACUCGUCUCAUCACCGCGUUGGACGUCUCCGUCGGGAUAUGAAGUUUGGUGGUGAUUACUCUUCCACCUCUCCCUCUCCUUCUUCAGUUUUUCCACUUCCACCGUCAUGGAAUUUCGUGGAUCAAAGCUUCAGCGGUUUUUGGCUUUCGCAUUCUUGCUCUGAGAUUCCAACAGAGCUUAGAGUAGGAUACCAGAGAUGGGGACAAACGGAAACGGCCAAUGUUCAUUCCUUCUAACGAGUUUACAGAUUGGGGACUUACAGUCCUAUCUUUCACAUCUUAACCUUUUUCUUCCCCCUAAGUCAAAAAAAUUCUAUAUAUUGGUGGACAACCGGCCAGGGAGAAACUUGGAUUCACGGGCUGCACUCCUGUGGCAGUUGAUGGUUACCAAGUCCAGAUUGUCCCCAUUUGCAAACACUCGAGUGCGACGAGAGAGAAAGGAUAUUGGAAAGACAGUUGAUUUGAAGAAUGGUUCCGGUUCCUACACGAGUAAAGCAAAUAAACUUGAGAGAUGGUUCCAGUUGAUUGAGGCAGCAGCAUUGUCACAGAAGAACUCUUUGCUGCCUGUGAAAAAACUGAAGAAUUCUUUGCUGUCAAGCCAUGACUUGUGUCGGACCUUGUAUGGAUUUAUUGUAUUUGAGGUUGCCUGGGCUGAUGUCCGUGGUAUUAACUAUCUGAAUGAGCUUCAGACAGAUACAUCGAUGGCAAUAGAGGCUAAAUUGAUGAAACGAUGGGAGUUUGAUAGUAUACAACAAGCUGCAGCAUCAGCAUCUGCAUGGUUCUCUGGGACACAAUCUGAACAGAAUCUCUUGCAGGAAUGUCUCAGUUCCAUCAUUGGAGAGGUAUUUUAUGAUACUCAAGAAUGUUCAUCAAUGAGUGACCCUACUGACCCUACUGAUGGUGGUGACAAUAUGUGUAUUGACAAUGCUUACGGUGAAGACAAAUGCCCUGGUAACCUUGGUGGCAAUUUUAGCGUAUACCCUGCAAAUUCUGAAUACAGAAUGAGCACAUAUGACACACCUCCACCACCUACUAGUUCAUACAAGAGAAGAAAAAUAACGAACUACAGUAGUUCUCAUGGGGAUGUCGAUGCAUUUUCUGCGAAAACUCACUCUGACAUUGGUAGCUCACCAAAACAUAAGGGGACUUCAAUUUUUGCCAUUAGUGAUGGUGAAAUUGCAGCUGAAGCUACCCAGUACAGGAAUGUCUUGAUUUUGUUUAAGUUCAAUGACCCUCAUCUUCCAUAUAUAUUGAGGCCCAUCAUAAUGUCUGAUCUGCGAUUGCUUACUUUGUUGGAGUCUGGGCUUCCCUCUUGGGUUAUUUUUCUUCAGUCAUAUCCAGUACUUUGCCAUCUCUAUCGUCCAUGGAUGUGUCCUUUAGCAAGAGCUUUGUUCGUGCUGGUUUCAAUUGUCACAGUGCUUAUAGGGUUUUAUGACCUGUAUAAAAAUGUCCCACUUCUGAAGGCCACUGCAUCUCGUUUGUGUGGACCCCUCGUUGACUGGAUAGACACUUGGGAGAUGAUUUCACGGAUUAAGUACUUGGGGACUAUGCUAUUCCUGCAAAAUUUUGAGAAAGCCAUUAAAUGGGUUUUAAUGAUUACUCAGGCUAUUAGAUCAUUUCUUUCAGUUCUGACACAACCAAUGGCUGGGCCUCUUGUUGAGGUUUUUGAUUUCCUUCUCCCCAUCUGGGAUCUCUGUCUACAAGUAUUAGGAAGCUUUUGUUCGGUCAUGUGGGUUCCAAUUAGGUCUUCUUGUAGCUUCGUAGUGGACCUUGUGGAAAUCUUUUUCUUCCCAGUGCAGUUACUCCUUUCUUUCAUAUGGAGAAUAGGCUCCUUCAUUCUGUACCCAAUAUUUUGGGUCAUCUGGGAAGCACUUUACACAAUUAUCCGUCUGGUUCUUUUGAUUGGAAGUUCUAUAUCUUUCGUCUAUUCCUCUGUAUAUGCUUUUGUGGGAGAGAUUUGGCUGUCCAUGAGUAGUAUAUUGCAGAUUGCAUCAGCUUCUGAGGCAACAGUGAGCACAUAUGAAGUCUCCAUGUGGCAUUCACUUUGGAAUGAUCUUUUCUCCCAGGUUUUUCGUGCUAUCCGAAGCAUUGUAAAUGGCUUUGUUGCCUUCUUUGCAACCUGCAAUAGGCACCGCUUAAGCAUCCAUAACCAUAUGCUGGAAUUUCUCCGGCAGUUAUCUUGCUUAUCCCAUGGAUCAAGGGACCAAGACUCCAGUCAUUGUGGACAGAUUUGGAUCUCAGGAUUUGGUAUGUUCUCGAGUCAUUGCCAUGAAAACAAAUGUCACACCAAAAGAAAUUAAUGGUGUCCUUUGGUACUAGCUAUUAUUUGGAGACAUAAUUAUCUGUGUUUAGCUACAACUACUUGAUCGUAUGUAUCUGGAGCCUCAUUUAUCUUUUGGUUGAUUUCUUUGGUUUUGGCCUACAUUUGGAUGCAAGGAACAGCUAUGCCAAACACUCCCAGCAAACACGAGAAAAAGCACGGAUGAGACUUACCGCUGAGGGACAUACAGAUCGAUGAUAGGUAUUAGAACAGCAUACUUUCCUCUCAUUCCGAGUCGCUGAUCUUUGAAGAACUCCAUUCAGUUUGUUAUUUCAAUUCAUUGUCUAUUCUUUUCAUAGUCCCACUCCUGUGUCUUUCCUGAUGUAAAUAUUCAGAAGGAAGAUGUGAAGUGCCCCCAAUCCUCCCCCCCCCCCCCCCUCUUUUUAGUCCUGUCAUUGUAAUUAUGUCAGGCAUCAAAUUGUUAUGUAGGUUUCCAUUAAAUGCCAUAUGAAAAAUCAUUACAGUAAUGUUGAUCAUAGAAUCGAAAAAUAUCCAAUAGAGGAAUUAUGGCA